rnacentral:rRNA from 1 species
AUUGAACGCUGGCGGCAGGCCUAACACAUGCAAGUCGAACGGUAACAGGAAGAAGCUUGCUUCUUUGCUGACGAGUGGCGGACGGGUGAGUAAUGUCUGGGAAACUGCCUGAUGGAGGGGGAUAACUACUGGAAACGGUAGCUAAUACCGCAUAACGUCGCAAGACCAAAGAGGGGGACCUUCGGGCCUCUUGCCAUCGGAUGUGCCCAGAUGGGGUUAGCUAGUAGGUGGGGUAACGGCUCACCUAGGCGACGAUCCCUAGCUGGUCUGAGAGGAUGACCAGCCACACUGGAACUGAGACACGGUCCAGACUCCUACGGGAGGCAGCAGUGGGGAAUAUUGCACAAUGGGCGCAAGCCUGAUGCAGCCAUGCCGCGUGUAUGAAGAAGGCCUUCGGGUUGUAAAGUACUUUCAGCGGGGAGGAAGGGAGUAAAGUUAAUACCUUUGCUCAUUGACGUUACCCGCAGAAGAAGCACCGGCUAACUCCGUG